GAUCAUGGCUCAGGAUGAACGCUGGCGGCGUGCCUAACACAUGCAAGUCGAGCGAGAAACUUUUAAAUGAAACUUCGGUAGAUUUUAAAAGCGGAAAGCGGCGGACGGGUGAGUAACGCGUAGGCAACCUGCCCUUUGCAGAGGGAUAGCACCUGGAAACGGAUAUUAAUACCUCAUAAUACUAAACUAUCACAUGAUAGAGUAGUCAAAGAUUUAUCGGCAAAGGAUGGGCCUGCGUCUGAUUAG
rnacentral:rRNA from 1 species